rnacentral:lncRNA from 1 species
UCUUUUUUUUUUUUUUUUUUUAAAGAUUUAUUUAUUAUAUGUAAGUACACUGUAGCUGUCUUCAGACACACCAGAAGAAGGAGUCAGUUCUUGUUACGGAUGGUUGUAAGCCACCAUGUGGUUGCUGGGAUUUGAACUCUGGACCUUUGGAAGAGCAGUCGGGUGCUCUUACCCACUGAGCCACCUCGCCAGCCCGGGACCUGUCUUCUUAAGCACUGGGAACCCACAGUGCGCAAGGUCAAAGACAUUUGCAGCAUGCUGAUGUUUUAGAGUUCCCCACAGACCAACGGGUAUAUAUAGUUAACAAAGAUUGUGCGAGAUUAGCCACAAGAUUAUGAGGCUAAACUCCACAAUCUGCCAUCUGCAGAAAAAGGCUCUGAAUCCAAAUCCAAAGACCUGAGGACUAGGUAGAAAUCUGAAGCUAUCAGAAGACCAGAGAGGCCUGAGGGGGCAGAAGCGGGGGAGCAGGGUCGGAGUGGAAAGCUACUAUGUAAAAGCUGGCCCAGUCCAUGAAAAACCAGGAGCCCUGAAGUGUGGCAGGAGAGCGAUGUCCCAGUUUUCAUAGAGUGAGUAUACCGCGUCUUACUGUUCCCUGGCAGCCCUCACCUGAUUGGAUGGUGCCGGUUCCCACUGUUGAGGACAAUCUUCUCUACUCAGGUCACCAUGGAAAAAAUUUCUUCCGGAAACAGACACACCCAGAACGGUUUUACAUCUGUCCAUCCAGGCAGGCGUCUUUUAGCCCAGUCAAGUGAACACACACACACACAAAAAUUAACCAUCUGUGAUGAUUCCUUAGGAAGUUGCCAAUGUGAACAAGACAUAAGGUUAGUGGAAUUAGGUAGUGAGUGUGCAAGGCUUCAAAUAACCAAGUCCUGAAGGGUUCUGUCUUGAUUCUAUAAGUUUGCCAGUCUUAGUCUGGGUUCCAUCUUUUUUUUUUUUUUUGGCGAAUAUGUAGAUGACCAUCCAAGAAACCGUAUAAAGAUUUGUUAGCUAAAGAGUCAGUGAUUUUGCUAAUUGCAGAGCCAAUAACAAGACUAUAUGUAAUGACCAUAGC